AAAUAUCCACACUUUACUGAAUGAAUAGAUUUAUUUAAAAAAAAAGAAAAAAUAAAAAUUACGUAUCCACCCCCCCGACUGCUUUCUCUUUUACAUCACAUUUUUUUCUUCUUCUCUUUUUCUUCUUCUUCUCGCCAUAAUUAUAUUGAUUUUUUCUAUUAAUCUUAUCUUAGAUAAUCAACCGCCCAUGUGCUGAGAAUAAAAAAAAGAACAUUAUUUAUUUAUGAUUUAU
rnacentral:ribozyme from 1 species